CUUAUGCCAAAGAUGUCAAAUCUCUGGGACUGGGCCAAAGCUUUGUGCUCCUCUUGUUUGUUCCUGAUGCUGCAUGCAUUGAUGAGAAACAUUUCAGACUAUAUCCAGCGUCUCUUCUAAAACUCCACCUGGCUCUGUGGACUACUAACUACCUCCUCCUCAUACAUGUUCUGAGUGAAACUUUAUACAGGAGACCAGACCAGCACAGUCCCAAAUCCAAGUCAUAAUGCUUUUUAAUUCAGAUGAAAAACUGUGAUUAAGUACAGCAUAAAAACCAUAGCCC